AUUGAACGCUGGCGGCAUGCUUUACACAUGCAAGUCGGACGGCAGCGCGGGCUUCGGCCUGGCGGCGAGUGGCGAACGGGUGAGUAAUACAUCGGAACGUGCCAGGAGGGGGGGAUAACCUCGCCAAAGCCGGAUUUAAUCCCCAAACGACCCGAAGGUGAAAACCGGGGGACUUUGGGCCCUGCGGCUUUUGGACGGGCCGAUGGCAGAUUAGCUAGUUGGUGGGGUAAAGGCCUACCAAGGCGAGGAUCGGUAGCUGGUCUGAGAGGACGACCAGCCACACUGGGACUGAGACACGGCCCAGACUCCUACGGGAGGCAGCAGUGGGGAAUUUUGGACAAUGGGCGCAAGCCUGAUCCAGCAAUGCCGCGUGUGUGAUGAAGGCCUUCGGGUUGUAAAGCACUUUUGGCAGGAACGAAAAGUGCCGUGCUAAUACCACGGUACGAUGACGGUACCUGCAGAAUAAGCACCGGCUAACUACGUG
rnacentral:rRNA from 1 species